GUAAGGGUUGCGUUGUUUGUGUGUGUGUGUCUGUGUGUGUAAUGCAUUGUGUGUUUUUCUGUGUGCAAGGGGUGCAUUGCAUGUGUGUGUGAUGGAUGUCAAUCUCUCCCCCCCUCCCUUGUCACUCUCUUCUCCCCCCUCUCCCUCCCUUGUCACUCUCUUCUCCCCCCUCUCCCUUGUCACUCUCUUCUCUUCUCCCCUCC